rnacentral:rRNA from 1 species
UGGGGAAUAUUGCACAAUGGGCGCAAGCCUGAUGCAGCCAUGCCGCGUGUAUGAAGAAGGCCUUCGGGUUGUAAAGUACUUUCAGCGGGGAGGAAGGCGAUGCGGUUAAUAACCGCGUCGAUUGACGUUACCCGCAGAAGAAGCACCGGCUAACUCCGUGCCAGCAGCCGCGGUAAUACGGAGGGUGCAAGCGUUAAUCGGAAUUACUGGGCGUAAAGCGCACGCAGGCGGUCUGUCAAGUCGGAUGUGAAAUCCCCGGGCUCAACCUGGGAACCGCAUCCGAAACUGGCAGGCUUGAGUCUCGUAGAGGGGGGUAGAAUUCCAGGUGUAGCGGUGAAAUGCGUAGAGAUCUGGAGGAAUACCGGUGGCGAAGGCGGCCCCCUGGACGAAGACUGACGCUCAGGUGCGAAAGCGUGGGGAGCAAACA